GUGGUUUUUUCUCUCUCUCUCUCUCUCACCCUUCCUUUUUUUUGAAACCUGAGAGAAAAGGCCCUCUCGAGAGGUCUGGAGGUUACAAGCGUGUUAUUAGAGCAUCACUUGUAGGCAAUUACAAGACCCUCCACAUCCUCUGUACCUGCUGGAUGCUCGUCCAUGAGGGACAAGAGUAGACAUGACCAGAGCCUUUUCUAGGCACCGUGGUUUUGCUAUUGAGUGAGCAUACGCUGUAUGAUGUUAUUUGUGUACUUAGCUACUGUAGAUAGACAGCCUUAUCUGUGUUCAACUGAGUGACUAACAGUCUACAUUACUCUACCUGUUUCCCUUCUUAUCCUACUCUGCAGCCAGUCUGCUACUGAAAUGUGAAGAGUCCUUAAGCUCCAUGUGUCUGGCCAGAUGUUUAAGAGAUUCAUCACCUGGUAUUGAGGGUAAUGAGCGAGGCGUGGAGGUGAACACAUUAAACCAAGCCGACCUUGCCCAGCCCAGCCAGGAGGGAUGA
rnacentral:lncRNA from 13 species